rnacentral:rRNA from 1 species
GAUGAACGCUGGCGGCGUGCCUAAUACAUGCAAGUCGAGCGAACAGACGAGGAGCUUGCUCCUCUGACGUUAGCGGCGGACGGGUGAGUAACACGUGGAUAACCUACCUAUAAGACUGGGAUAACUUCGGGAAACCGGAGCUAAUACCGGAUAAUAUAUUGAACCGCAUGGUUCAAUAGUGAAAGACGGUUUUGCUGUCACUUAUAGAUGGAUCCGCGCCGCAUUAGCUAGUUGGUAAGGUAACGGCUUACCAAGGCGACGAUGCGUAGCCGACCUGAGAGGGUGGACGGGCACACUGGAACUGAGACACGGUACAGACUCCUACGGGAGGCAGCAGUAGGGAAUCUUCCGCAAUGGGCGAAAGCCUGACGGAGCAACGCCGCGUGAAUGAUGAAGGUCAUCGGAUCGUAAAACUCUGUUAUUAGGGAAGAACAAAUGUGUAAGUAACUAUGCACGUCUUGACGGUACCUAAUCAGAAAGCCACGGCUAACUACGUG